AGGGGGAGCUGGCUGUUGUGUCUCUGCUCCCCCUCCCCUGGCGUGCAGGGGAGGGGGAGCAGAGACACAACAGCCAGCAAACCCUGCGGCCGCCAAA